CGUGAGGCAUGCUGGAGGUAUCAGAAGUGCGAAUGCUGACAUAAGUAACGAUAAAGCGGGUGAAAAGCCCGCUCGCCGGAAGACCAAGGGUUCCUGUCCAACGUUAAUCGGGGCAGGGUGAGUCGACCCCUAAGGCGAGGCCGAAAGGCGUAGUCGAUGGGAAACGGGUUAAUAUUCCCGUACUUGGUGUUACUGCGAAGGGGGGACGGAGAAGGCUAUGUUGGCCGGGCGACGGUUGUCCCGGUUUAAGCGUGUAGGUGUGUGUUCCAGGUAAAUCCGGUUCACUUUAACACUGAGGCGUGACGACGAGGCACUACGGUGCUGAAGCAACAAAUGCCCUGCUUCCAGGAAAAGCCUCUAAGCAUCAGGUAACAUCAAAUCGUACCCCAAACCGACACAGGUGGUCAGGUAGAGAAUACCAAGGCGCUUGAGAGAACUCGGGUGAAGGAACUAGGCAAAAUGGUGCCGUAACUUCGGGAGAAGGCACGCUGACACGUAGGUGAAGUGAUUUACUCAUGGAGCUGAAGUCAGUCGAAGAUACCAGCUGGCUGCAACUGUUUAUUAAAAACACAGCACUGUGCAAACACGAAAGUGGACGUAUACGGUGUGACGCCUGCCCGGUGCCGGAAGGUUAAUUGAUGGGGUCAGCGCAAGCGAAGCUCCUGAUCGAAGCCCCGGUAAACGGCGGCCGUAACUAUAACGGUCCUAAGGUAGCGAAAUUCCUUGUCGGGUAAGUUCCGACCUGCACGAAUGGCGUAAUGAUGGCCAGGCUGUCUCCACCCGAGACUCAGUGAAAUUGAACUCGCUGUGAAGAUGCAGUGUACCCGCGGCAAGACGGAAAGACCCCGUGAACCUUUACUAUAGCUUGACACUGAACAUUGAGCCUUGAUGUGUAGGAUAGGUGGGAGGCUUUGAAGUGUGGACGCCAGUCUGCAUGGAGCCGACCUUGAAAUACCACCCUUUAAUGUUUGAUGUUCUAACGUGGACCCGUUACCCGGGUUGCGGACAGUGUCUGGUGGGUAGUUUGACUGGGGCGGUCUCCUCCUAAAGAGUAACGGAGGAGCACGAAGGUUGGCUAAUCCUGGUCGGACAUCAGGAGGUUAGUGCAAUGGCAUAAGCCAGCUUGACUGCGAGCGUGACGGCGCGAGCAGGUGCGAAAGCAGGUCAUAGUGAUCCGGUGGUUCUGAAUGGAAGGGCCAUCGCUCAACGGAUAAAAGGUACUCCGGGGAUAACAGGCUGAUACCGCCCAAGAGUUCAUAUCGACGGCGGUGUUUGGCACCUCGAUGUCGGCUCAUCACAUCCUGGGGCUGAAGUAGGUCCCAAGGGUAUGGCUGUUCGCCAUUUAAAGUGGUACGCGAGCUGGGUUUAGAACGUCGUGAGACAGUUCGGUCCCUAUCUGCCGUGGGCGCUGGAGAACUGAGGGGGGCUGCUCCUAGUACGAGAGGACCGGAGUGGACGCAUCACUGGUGUUCGGGUUGUCAUGCCAAUGGCACUGCCCGGUAGCUAAAUGCGGAAGAGAUAAGUGCUGAAAGCAUCUAAGCACGAAACUUGCCCCGA
rnacentral:rRNA from 3 species